GGGGCUGUUUUGGAUUCGACAAAAUUAUCAAACAAAUAAAGUGCAUGCCGAGGAACGGUUUGCCUCGUAAAAAGCCGUAAAAAAAUAGCUACAAAUAAUAAACAAAACUACGCAUUAGCAGCUUAAAAAACUGUUUUAUGCCCUUUAUUCUCAAUAUUAUCUCUUUUAUAGCGAGAAAUUAUUAAAGGUCACUAAUUAAAGAGAAAACGUGAAAAUAAAGCUUAAUAAUAACACGAAAAAAAUAUUUUUAAGAUAUAUUCCUAAAAUGCGUUUUUCUAAAUUAGGAAAAGAACUGCACAUUAAGAAAAACUAAGCAUGUAAUAUCUUUAUUUAUAGAAAUUUUGGACGCGGGUUCAAAUCCCGCCAGCUCCAA
rnacentral:tmRNA from 1 species